rnacentral:rRNA from 1 species
UACAGAGGGUGCGAGCGUUAAUCAGAAUUACUGGGCGUAAAGCGUGCGUAGACGGUUAUUUAAGUCGGGGGUGAAAGCCCAGGGCUCAACCCUGGAAUUGACCUUCGGAUACUGAAGAUCUCGAGACCGGAAGAGGUAAGUGGAACUGCGAGUGUAGAGGUGAAAUUCGUAGAUAUUCGCAAGAACACCAGUGGCGAAGGCGGCUUACUGGUCCGGUUCUGACGCUGAGGCGCGAAAGCGUGGGGAGCAAACAGG